ensembl:lncRNA
UGGUCAUACUUUUAAAAUUUGGUUUUAAAAUUUUAUAAGUGGUCAUGCAAUUUAAUUGAAUAUUAAGUUUGUGCCUACUAGAAAUCUUUUCUUCAAAAAGUUCUUUAGUAUUAUUUUGUGUAAUCAUAGUGCUACUUGAGUUAUAAUUUUUGCAAUAGAAUUCAGAUAUUUUGUGCCAUAUUUUGUAACAGGGGUGAACGACAAUUCCACCUUUAAAGAUAUGAAGAAAUCAGUAUUUCUGCCUUCAGAAACAAACUAUUUUAAUGUCAGCAUCCUCACGUUAAUAAACUAACUCUGAAGAUUGGAUGGAACCAACUCCAAGGAAUUAAUCUUCAGUGGUGGACUUUCAGAUUUUUUAAAUUUUGAGAGGUAGGAAGCCUUCUUGAUUCCCUUGUAAUCUUAAAUAGACAGGUGCCUUGGAAUGGGGCCACCCCUUUUUACCUACGUGUUAUUUUAAUCUUUAUACUGUGGAUAAAAAUUUGGUUUGUUUGAACUCUGGCAUUUUGUGUGGCAAUCUAUCAAACCUUCAGCUUUUUGCUAUAAUUAUCCAGGUAGAAUCUGGGCAGUGCUGAACUAAAGAAAACUGUGACACUACCUCUUAAGUAUAUUGUUUGCAAAUGCUGUGUACUAUUUAGAGGAUUCACAUAAAAAUAUGUGAAAAUACUUUAUAAGGAAUAAUACUAAGUGCCUCUAUAUUAGGAUUCUUCAGUAGAAUGUAUUUUCAGUUUUUGCCACAAGGGGGAGGAGUUAUUUUUAUAGUAAUACAAACAUUUUGUUCCAUUAAAAAAUAGAGCUCACCUAGCUUCUCUCUCUCACAGCACCUAUGAACAUGUCACUAUCCUAACAGGAAGAGGGUGUGAGUAUGUGUGUGUCUUUAAGAUUCUGAAAAUCCCGUGUGAAAAGAAUUAUCUGAGUGAAUUAAUGACAUAAAACUAAAACAGUUUUGAAGAACAUGUAUGUUCACAGUGGACCCAGGAGCUGGACAGAAGAGUUCAUCAUAAUUAAAAUUGUUUUAUAGGGCUACAUAUCUCAUAGAAUUCCUUUAUCAACUCUUUAAUAGGAAUCUAUUGAUUAGUUUUUUGGUUUUUAAGUAAAAAAAAUUUUUGAAACAAUCUCUGACUUACAGAAAGGUUUUAAAUAUUGUACAAAUAAAAAUUUUCCACUUUGAGAGUAAGUUACUGUCAUGAUGCCCCAUUACCCUGUAAUACUUUUGUAUUUCCAACAAGAAGAAAUUCUCCUAUAUAGUCAUAAUACAAUUAUCAAAAUCAGGAAAUUAACACUGAUAUAUUACUCCCAUCUAAUCCUGAGACCCCUUUCGAGUUUCACUGAAUGUCCCAAUAAUGAUUUCUAAGGAUCCACUUUAAAAUCAUGUGUUGUUUUAGGUUGUAGUAUCUCUACUUUCUUCCACUCUGGAAUGGUUUCUUAGUCUUUCCUUGACUUUUGCUACCCUUGACACUUUUGUAGAUUAUAAGCCAGUUAUGUAAAAUGUUCCUAAAUUUGAAUUUAUUUCCUUGUGAAUCGAUUCCAGUUGUGCUUUUUUGGCAGGGAUAUUACAAAAGCAAGUCUGUGUUCUCAUUGCAGCCUAUAAGGUAGUGCACAAUCUCAGUGCACCAUUUCUGAUAAUACUCAUUUUAAUCACUUGCUUACGUGCUACCUAUCAGGGUUCUCUACUAUAAAGUUACUUUUUCCCUUUGUAAUAAUUUUGUGAGAAGGUAGUUUGAAACUAUGUAUAUAGCCUGCUCCUAAUCAAAAUUUCAGUUUGAAUUAAUGGUUUUCUGGUCAAAGGAUUAUAACCUGUUGCUUAUUUUGAACCUCAAAUUGUCUCACAUUUGGUUAAUGGGAUCCCCUUCAAGUUGGCUCCUAUGUCCUUUAGACAUGUUGUCAUCAUUUUUUAAGUGCUUUCUUACAUUGGGCACACAGCUUUCUCCAAACUCAUCUUGUAUUUGCCUGCCCUAUAGUUUGAAUCAGCUGUUUCUUCAUCUUUUUAGUGGAAAUUGGUAUUUAGAAACUACAGUUUGUACAUGAGAUAUGCUUAUAAUUGAGAUGUCUGUGCCACCACUCUUCAGUGGAUGGUGCUGUGGGGCUUUGUGUGUGUAUAUACAUGUAUGUUUUAAAUUUACAUACACAUACACUCUCCUAUGUAAUACCCUUUUUACCUCAUUUGAGCUCCAGUACCCAUGUUGUGUUUCCUCCCCCAUGCAAGAGGGGGGCUUCCUCACUUCACUCAGCCUCUGAGGCUUUAGCUGUAGAACCAGGUAGGGGGGAUGAAAACAGUUAUUACAGAAAACAUGUAAAGAUUUAAAAAUUCUAAAUAAAAAUUACUCAUAAUUGCUUUAUUCAGAAACAACAAAUUUUUGGUGUGUUGUCUUUUAUUGUAGUGAUCAAAUUAGUAACACUGAAUUGAGAAG